rnacentral:rRNA from 1 species
GGUUAAGUGACUAAGCGUACACGGUGGAUGCCUUGGCAGUCAGAGGCGAUGAAAGACGUAGUAACUUGCGAUAAGCCCAGAUUAGGUAGUAACAACCAUUUGAGUCUGGGAUUUCUGAAUGGGGAAACCCACGUGCAUAAGCACGUAUCCUUACNNNNNNNNNNNNNNNUGAAUACAUAGGGUAAGGAGGCGAACCGGGGGAACUGAAACAUCUAAGUACCCCGAGGAAAAGAAAUCAACCGAGAUUCCGAAAGUAGCGGCGAGCGAAAUUGGACUAGCCCUUAAGCUUUACACGCGUUAGACGAACGGUCUGGAAAGUCCGACGAUACAGGGUGAUAGUCCCGUAGUUGACGACGUGUGUUCAGUGAAAUCGAGUAGGGCGGGACACGUGAUAUCCUGUCUGAAUAUGGGGGGACCAUCCUCCAAGGCUAAAUACUACUGACUGACCGAUAGUGAACCAGUACCGUGAGGGAAAGGCGAAAAGAACCCCUGUGAGGGGAGUGAAAUAGAACCUGAAACCGUGUACGUACAAGCAGUAGGAGCAGGCUUUGUCCUGUGACUGCGUACCUUUUGUAUAAUGGGUCAGCGACUUAUAUUCAGUGGCAAGGUUAACCAUCUAGGGGAGCCGUAGGGAAACCGAGUCUUAACUGGGCGUUCAGUCUCUGGAUAUAGACCCGAAACCAGGUGAUCUAGCCAUGGGCAGGUUGAAGGUUGAGUAACAUCAACUGGAGGACCGAACCGACUAAUGUUGAAAAAUUAGCGGAUGACUUGUGGCUAGGGGUGAAAGGCCAAUCAAACCUGGAGAUAGCUGGUUCUCCCCGAAAGCUAUUUAGGUAGCGCCUCGGACGAAUACUACUGGGGGUAGAGCACUGUUAAGGCUAGGGGGUCAUCCCGACUUACCAACCCUUUGCAAACUCCGAAUACCAGUAAGUACUAUCCGGGAGACACACGGCGGGUGCUAACGUCCGUCGUGGAGAGGGAAACAACCCAGACCGCCAGCUAAGGUCCCAAAUUACUACUAAGUGGGAAACGAUGUGGGAAGGCUCAGACAGCCAGGAUGUUGGCUUAGAAGCAGCCAUCAUUUAAAGAAAGCGUAAUAGCUCACUGGUCGAGUCGGCCUGCGCGGAAGAUGUAACGGGGCUAAGUAGUAAACCGAAGCUGCGGCAAUGUGCUUUUGCACAUUGGGUAGGGGAGCGUUCUGUAAGCGGUUGAAGGUGUGUGGUAACGCAUGCUGGACGUAUCAGAAGUGCGAAUGCUGACAUGAGUAACGAUAAAGGGGGUGAAAAACCUCCUCGCCGGAAGACCAAGGGUUCCUGUCCAACGUUAAUCGGGGCAGGGUAAGUCGACCCCUAAGGCGAGGCCGAAAGGCGUAGUCGAUGGGAAACGGGUUAAUAUUCCCGUACUUCUUACAAUUGCGAUGGGGGGACGGAGAAGGCUAGGUGGGCCUGGCGACGGUUGUCCAGGUUCAAGUGCGUAGGCUUAAGAGUUAGGUAAAUCCGGCUCUUUUUAAGGCUGAGACACGACGUCGAGCACCUACGGGUGUGAAGUCAUUGAUGCCAUGCUUCCAGGAAAAGCCUCUAAGCUUCAGAUUGUAAGGAAUCGUACCCCAAACCGACACAGGUGGUCGGGUAGAGAAUACCAAGGCGCUUGAGAGAACUCGGGUGAAGGAACUAGGCAAAAUGGUACCGUAACUUCGGGAGAAGGUACGCUCUCGACGGUGAAGUCCCUCGCGGAUGGAGCUAUUNNNGAGAGUCGCAGAUACCAGGUGGCUGCAACUGUUUAUUAAAAACACAGCACUGUGCAAAAUCGUAAGAUGACGUAUACGGUGUGACGCCUGCCCGGUGCCGGAAGGUUAAUUGAUGGGGUUAGACUUCGGUCGAAGCUCUUGAUCGAAGCCCCGGUAAACGGCGGCCGUAACUAUAACGGUCCUAAGGUAGCGAAAUUCCUUGUCGGGUAAGUUCCGACCUGCACGAAUGGCGUAAUGAUGGCCACGCUGUCUCCACCCGAGACUCAGUGAAAUUGAAAUCGCUGUGAAGAUGCAGUGUACCCGCGGCUAGACGGAAAGACCCCGUGAACCUUUACUACAGCUUGGCACUGAACAUUGACCCUACAUGUGUAGGAUAGGUGGGAGGCUUUGAAGCACGUACGCCAGUAUGUGUGGAGCCGUCCUUGAAAUACCACCCUUGUAGUGUUGAUGUUCUAACGUCGACCCCUAAUCGGGGUUGCGGACAGUGCCUGGUGGGUAGUUUGACUGGGGCGGUCUCCUCCCAAAGAGUAACGGAGGAGCACGAAGGUGGGCUAAUCACGGUUGGACAUCGUGAGGUUAGUGCAAUGGCAUAAGCCCGCUUGACUGCGAGAAUGACAAUUCGAGCAGGUGCGAAAGCAGGUCAUAGUGAUCCGGUGGUUCUGAAUGGAAGGGCCAUCGCUCAACGGAUAAAAGGUACUCCGGGGAUAACAGGCUGAUACCGCCCAAGAGUUCAUAUCGACGGCGGUGUUUGGCACCUCGAUGUCGGCUCAUCACAUCCUGGGGCUGAAGUCGGUCCCAAGGGUAUGGCUGUUCGCCAUUUAAAGUGGUACGCGAGCUGGGUUUAGAACGUCGUGAGACAGUUCGGUCCCUAUCUGCCGUGGGCGUUGGAAGAUUGAAGGGGGCUGCUCCUAGUACGAGAGGACCGGAGUGGACGAACCUCUGGUGUUCGGGUUGUGUCGCCAGACGCAUUGCCCGGUAGCUAAGUUCGGAAUCGAUAACCGCUGAAAGCAUCUAAGCGGGAAGCGAGCCCUGAGAUGAGUCUUCCCUGAUACUUUAAGUAUCCUAAAGGGUUGUCGGAGACUACGACGUUGAUAGGUCAGGUGUGUAAGUGCUGUGAGGCAUUGAGCUAACUGAUACUAAUUGCCCGUGAGGCUUAACCAU